UUCGAUACUAAGAGGAAUGGCCCGGCGCAAUGGCACAUCAUUCACUUCCCUUAUUUCUGCAUUUUGAUAUUGUACUCUAAUGAUGUGAUUUUUAUACAUUAUGAUGGUUUUGGAACAAUUUUUAUUCCUGUAGUACUUUUUCAAAAUGAAAUAAUUUUAUCGUGUUUUGGGGUCAUUACACGAUCCAAUCAAAAGAAAAAAAUAAUCAUGUGCACACUGAUCGAGCAUUUCCAAUCGAAAAGUAAACUUCAAGCUCUCAAUUUCUAUAUCUAAGAGAGCUUCUUCCAAAUCUCAAUUUCUAUAUCUAAGAGAGCUUCUUCCAAAUCUCAAUUUCUAUAUCUAAUCUCUUGAAUAUUCGCCAUAAUAGAUCUCAAAAAUUUCAUGUCGAUCCUUCGAGAGAACACUUUCUUCUGUCGGAAAUCAUGACCAAACAGCACACCAGGGAUCUUGAUCUCGAUUAACCGACACAUAAGUCACCGAUGAAGAGGAAGACGAAGAGAUCUGAUGUAAACGACGGUGUACCAAUCUCUAAUAGUUAAUGUAGAAGACGAUGGUGGCAGAAAUUAUUAGAUGAGAGGAAGACGAAGCAAUCUGAUGGUAACGGUGGUCGAAUGACGACGGAAGCAGCGGGAGCGAGAUGGUGGCUAAAAAAGUUUGAAGCAUUUUAUGUUUAUGGUUUUAUCUUGAUGAAGAAGAAAAUGAGAGGUUUAUUGGUUUAGAUCUGAUUUGUGGUAUGACGAAUGUAAAUUUGAUCUAUUUUAAGAAAAUUAAUACUGACAAAAA